CCCAGGAUAUCUAGAGGAAAGGGGGAAACCCUUUUCAUCUUCAAAAAUCAGCAAUUAAGGGGAGGAAUUGAAGCUAACUAUCUGCAUGUUCAUCUUUCUCUAAUCAUCUUAGCAUUCUAAACAUGAGGCAUAAGGAUCAUGUGGAAAUGGACUCAAGCAAGAAAGGCAAAAGGGUAAAAAGGAGGCAAGGGAACGGACGCAAAAAGGUUGUACGAAUCACGGGCGGUUAUCACGAGGAAUAGAGAUCGAAGACCGAGUCACAAGAUAGAUUGUACGGGAAUAAUUGAGUAUGUACUAUUAGUAAACAGGACUUAUGCUUUAUUUUUGUAAAAGAUACAUAUUAAGACGAACUUUCAAGUAAGUCCAGACGUUUGUAACGAAAGAAAUUUUAU